AGAGUUUGAUCCUGGCUCAGAAUGAACGUUGGCGGCGUGGAUUAGGCAUGCAAGUCGAACGGUAAGGUUACUUAGCUUGCUUUGUAACCCUAGAGUGGCGAAAGGGAUAGUACAAUGUAGAUCAUAUACCCUCAGGUUGGGGAUAGCGUCUGGAAACGGGCGGUAAUACCCGAUAACAUCUCCGGAUCAAAGGUGAGAUUCCGCCUGAGGAUUAGUUUACACACUAUUAGCUUGUUGGCGGGGUAAUGGCCCACCAAGGCGACGAUGGUUACCGGGCGUGAGAGCGUGACCCGGAUCACUGGGACUGAGACACUGCCCAGACACCUACGGGUGGCUGCAGUCGAGAAUCUUCGGCAAUGGACGAAAGUCUGACCGAGCGACGCCGCGUGUAUGAUGAAGGCCUUCGGGUUGUAAAAUACUGUCGAUUAGGCGGAAGUGUAUAGGGGUUCUCCCUUAUACUUGACCUAUCAUUGGAGGAAGGACGGGCUAAGUUCGUGCC
rnacentral:rRNA from 1 species